GACGAACGCUGGCGGCGUGCUUAACACAUGCAAGUCGAACGAAAAGACGGAAAGAGCUUGCUCUUUUCAGAAUUGAGUGGCAAACGGGUGAGUAACACGUAAACAACCUGCCUUCAGGAUGGGGACAACAGACGGAAACGACUGCUAAUACCGAAUAAGUUCCAAGAGCCGCAUGGCCCAUGGAAGAAAAGGUGGCCUCUACCUGUAAGCUAUCGCCUGAAGAGGGGUUUGCGUCUGAUUAGCUGGUUGGAGGGGUAACGGCCCACCAAGGCGACGAUCAGUAGCCGGUCUGAGAGGAUGAACGGCCACACUGGAACUGAGACACGGUCCAGACUCCUACGGGAGGCAGCAGUGGGGAAUCUUCCACAAUGGGCGAAAGCCUGACGGAGCAACGCCGCGUGAGUGAUGACGGCCUUCGGGUUGUAAAACUCUGUGAUCCGGGACGAAAAGGCAGAGUGCGAAGAACAAACUGCAUUGACGGUACCGGAAAAGCAAGCCACGGCUAACUACGUGCCAGCAGCCGCGGUAAUACGUAGGUGGCAAGCGUUGUCCGGAAUUAUUGGGCGUAAAGCGCGCGCAGGCGGCUUCCCAAGUCCCUCUUAAAAGUGCGGGGCUUAACCCCGUGAUGGGAAGGAAACUGGGAAGCUGGAGUAUCGGAGAGGAAAGUGGAAUUCCUAGUGUAGCGGUGAAAUGCGUAGAGAUUAGGAAGAACACCGGUGGCGAAGGCGACUUUCUGGACGAAAACUGACGCUGAGGCGCGAAAGCGUGGGGAGCAAACAGG
rnacentral:rRNA from 1 species